rnacentral:rRNA from 1 species
GACGUAGGGCGCGAGCGUUGUCCGGAUUUAUUGGGCGUAAAGAGCUCGUAGGCGGCUUGUCGCGUCGAAUGUGAAAACUCGGGGCUCAACUCCGAGCUUGCAUUCGAUACGGGCAGGCUAGAGUUCGGUAGGGGAGACUGGAAUUCCUGGUGUAGCGGUGAAAUGCGCAGAUAUCAGGAGGAACACCGGUGGCGAAGGCGGGUCUCUGGGCCGAUACUGACGCUGAGGCGCGAAAGCUAGGGGAGCAAACGGG